rnacentral:rRNA from 1 species
AUACGGGUGGUGCAAGCGUUAAUCGGAAUUACUGGGCGUAAAGCGCGCGUAGGCGGUUUGCUCAGUCGGAUGUGAAAGCCCAGGGCUCAACCUUGGAACUGCAUACGAUACUGGCAAACUAGAGUGUGAGAGAGGAUAGCGGAAUUUCCGGUGUAGCGGUGAAAUGCGUAGAUAUCGGAAGGAACGUCAGUGGCGAAGGCGACUGUCUGGCUCAACACUGACGCUGAGGUGCGAAAGCGUGGGUAGCAAACAGGAUUAGAAACCCCAGUAGUCC